UCAGGAUGAACGCUAGCUACAGGCUUAACACAUGCAAGUCAGGGGCAGCAUGAACUUAGCUUGCUAAGUUGAUGGCGACCGGCGCACGGGCGAGUAACGCGUAUCCAACCUUCCCCUUAGUAGGGCAUAGCCCGUAGAAAUGCGGAUUAAUACCCUAUGUUAUUCGUCGAGGACAUCUGAAGUGAAUCAAAGGUUUACCGCUAAGGGAUGGGGAUGCGUCUGAUUAGGCAGCAGGCGGGGUAACGGCCCACCUGGCCUACGAUCAGUAGGGUUCUGAGAGGAAGGUCCCCCACAUUGGAACUGAGACACGGUCCAAACUCCUACGGGAGGCAGCAGUGAGGAAUAUUGGUCAAUGGGCGCGAGCCUGAACCAGCCAAGUAGCGUGCAGGACGACGGCCCUAUGGGUUGUAAACUGCUUUUAUGCGGGGAUAAAGUUCACUACGUGUAGUGUUUUGUAGGUACCGCAUGAAUAAGGACCGGCUAAUUCCGUGCCAGCAGCCGC
rnacentral:rRNA from 1 species